GGAAGGCUGUGGCCACCAGCUUGAGAGGGCAAAAGGAGAAGAGGCAAGAACAGGGUUUGUCUAGAAAAUGUCAUCCUGAGUGAGGUAACCCAAACACAAAAGAACACACAUGUUUGGAUCUGAAGUAUCUCCUGAGGCUGGACUGAUAGAGGCUCAAUUACCUGCCUGGACUCUGUGGCCAGAAGUACUUUAUGUACCUCUCUGAGCAAGAAAUUUAUGAAGAAUUCCCAGGGAAAGUAAUGGAAAACUACAACUAUCAUGACAUGUCAUAAAAAGUAAAUAAUCUACUACUAUACAGAAGGCAGCUAUGUGUCAAGACUUGAAGACACCAAAUAAGCUAUUGAGAUAAUUUUAGGAAUUCAAUUGACAUCAUCUCCUCAGUAAAAUUAUGGAAUAUCUGAUCUACAGAUAUUCUACAGUGACUUUCAGGAAGAUGUUAACUGAAUGCCUAAAAAUAGAACAAAGUAAAGCACAGCCUAGAGAUAUGAUGCUGUUGGCUCUUUUUUCUAUAUUCUGAAAAAAUACUCCCACUGAAAUGCAUGUGAUAUUUAAUAUUGUUUUCCAACUUGACAUGGUCUAGAAUAACCCAGGAGAGAAAGCAUUCCUUCUUACUCUAUCUGCAAUGCCAAAAACAGCUGAUUUCACCUUUAACAAGUUAAUGGGGGUGAAGACUAUAUUUUCAAGGACCAUUCCUCCAAUUCCUUAAAUGAGAAUUGUUGCGGAUAGCUCUGGGGCUAAUUGUAUUUGAUGUUAAUUCUGUCCUCCUGUGAGAGGCUACAAACAAGGAAUGAGUCUGCACUAAGGCUGCCACCAGAAAGUAUGAACCAAAUGUGAGGAAGAUCUUCCCACCUCAAGUAUCCAAUGAAGAAAAAUCCUCACACAUAUACACAGCAACUUGGCUUUGGCUAUUUCCUGGUGUUGUCAAGUUGACAUCCAAGAAUGGUCAUCAUGACUUCCAUUAUUAUGGAAGCCAAAAAUCCCUAAGACCUGUAGUUAGCAAGCAUGAAUUCCAUAAGUGGUGAUGACAUAAGUUUUGAUCUAAGAACAAAUGAUUUGAGAGCAAUGAGAAGACAACGUUUUAGCUCAAUUCUAAAUGCAGGAAAGGCAAAAGACCUAAAUGCCCCACUUUGAAAGUAAUAGAGAAGAAAGAAGAAAGAAUCUUCUUUAGCCCAUAUAGAGAGAAUCCCUUAUAAGAAUCACCUGUCAAUGAAAAAAACAUAUGGCCAUUGAGCUGAAACAGAAAUUAGGAAGUAUAACAUCCAGCAAGGAUAGAGAGGAUUCUCGGAAAUAGUGAGAGGUAAAGGAAGAUUCUUUUGGGAAGCUGCUAAGACCAACAUAAACCAGCAGGUAGGUGAAGUUAGGUUAGAAAAAGAGAGAUUCAAGAUGGAACACUGAGGCCCAUAACUAAACAUAAUAAUAGCAAUAUACAGC
rnacentral:lncRNA from 1 species